GACGUAGGGGGCCAGCGUUGCUCGGAAUUACUGGGCGUAAAGGGCGCGUAGGCGGUGCGGUAAGUCACCUGUGAAAUCUCCUGGCUCAACUGGGAGCUUGCAGGCGAAACUGCCGUGCUGGAGUGUGGGAGAGGUGCGUGGAAUUCCUGGUGUAGCGGUGAAAUGCGUAGAUAUCAGGAGGAACACCUGUGGCGAAAGCGGCGCACUGGACCACAACUGACGCUGAGGCGCGAAAGCUAGGGGAGCAAACAGG
rnacentral:rRNA from 1 species